UNAGCGGAGGAAAAGNAACUANCANGGAUUCCCCUAGUAACUGCGAGUGAAGCGGGGAAAAGCUCAAAUUUAAAAUCUGGUGGUCUUUGGCCAUNCGAGUUGUAAUUUAGAGAAGCGUCUUCCGCGCUGGGCCGUGCACAAGUCUCCUGGAAUGGAGCGUCACAGAGGGUGAGAAUCCCGUCUUUGGCAUGGACACACCAGGGCUUUUGUGAUGCGCUCUCGAAGAGUCGAGUUGUUUGGGAAUGCAGCUCAAAAUGGGUGGUGAACUCCAUCUAAAGCUAAAUAUUGGCGAGAGACCGAUAGCGAACAAGUACCGUGAGGGAAAGAUGAAAAGCACUUUGGAAAGAGAGUGAAACAGUACGUGAAAUUGUUGAAAGGGAAACGCUUGAAGUCAGUCGCGUCGACCGAGACUCAGCCUUGCCUUGGCCUGGUGUACUUCUCGGCCGACGGGUCAGCAUCAAUUUUGCCCCUUGGAUAAUGAUGAGGGAAACGUGACACCUUUAUGGUGUGUUAUAGUCUCUUGUCGCAUGCAAGGGUCGGGAUUGAGGAACUCAGCACGCACCUUUGGGUGUCGGGGCUUUGCCCACGAUACGUGCUUAGGAUGUUGGCGUAAUGGCUUUAAACGACC
rnacentral:rRNA from 1 species